AGUAGUCAUAUGCUGUCUCAAAGAUUAAGCCAUGCAUGUCUCAGUACAAGCCAAAUUAAGGUGAAACCGCGAAAGGCUCAUUAAAUCAGUUAUGGUUCCUUAGAUCGUACCCACAUUUACUUGGAUAACUGUGGUAAUUCUAGAGCUAAUACAUGCAAACAGAGCUCCGACCGGAGACGGAAGGAGCGCUUUUAUUAGAUCAAAACCAAUCGGCGGCGGGUUCGCCCGUUCGUCGUACAACUUGGUGAAUCUGAAUAACUUUCUGCUGAUCGCAUGGUCUCGCACCGGCGACGCAUCUUUCAAAUGUCUGCCUUAUCAACUGUCGAUGGUAGGUUCUGCGCCUACCAUGGUUGUAACGGGUAACGGGGAAUCAGGGUUCGAUUCCGGAGAGGGAGCCUGAGAAACGGCUACCACAUCCAAGGAAGGCAGCAGGCGCGCAAAUUACCCACUCCCGGCACGGGGAGGUAGUGACGAAAAAUAACGAUACGGGACUCAUCCGAGGCCCCGUAAUCGGAAUGAGUACACUCUAAACCCUUUAACGAGGAUCAAUUGGAGGGCAAGUCUGGUGCCAGCAGCCGCGGUAAUUCCAGCUCCAAUAGC
rnacentral:rRNA from 1 species